rnacentral:rRNA from 1 species
GACGAACGCUGGCGGCGUGCCUAAUACAUGCAAGUCGAGCGGACCUCUUCGGAGGUCAGCGGCGGACGGGUGAGUAACACGUGGGCAACCUGCCUGUAAGACUGGGAUAACACCGGGAAACCGGUGCUAAUACCGGAUAAUCCUUUUUCUCACAUGAGAAGAAGCUGAAAGACGGUUUCGACUGUCACUUACAGAUGGGCCCGCGGCGCAUUAGCUAGUUGGUGGGGUAACGGCCCACCAAGGCGACGAUGCGUAGCCGACCUGAGAGGGUGAUCGGCCACACUGGGACUGAGACACGGCCCAGACUCCUACGGGAGGCAGCAGUAGGGAAUCUUCCGAAAUGGACGAAAGUCUGACGGAGCAACGCCGCGUGAGCGAAGAAGGCCUUCGGGUCGUAAAGCUCUGUUGUCAGGGAAGAACAAGUGCCGGAGUAACUGCCGGCACCUUGACGGUACCUGGCCAGAAAGCCACGGCUAACUACGUGCCAGCCGCCGCAGUAAAAC